rnacentral:snoRNA from 1 species
CGAUAGCAAGUUCCUUUGCUGCCCUAGAGUUACGGGCAUCAGAUUUUUUGCUAUCGGAAAUAACAUUCCGGAUCUCUUCACCCAACGCUACGUAGUGAUGAUUCGCUCUGCCGCAUGGCUUGUAGUCGUUGGUUUUGCAGAUCCGUACACGU